CUCUCUCAAAUUAAAAAAAAAUUAAAGUGUCUGUGACAGUAACCCCUGCAAGUACCCAGGAAAAUUAUUAAUGUGUAUUUGAUUAUUACUUUCUGCCUUAAUGAAUUUCAUGGUGAGAAUUUCAUGGUGUUUAAGAUAUACAACAUUAAUUACAUUCAAUGCCAUGUCUAUUCAUUUCAUUUAAUAACUCUUUGUGAGGUAGAUGGUGUGAGCACAGUACUAUGUCAUAAAAAUGAAACAAUGAUUAAGAUAUACCUACUCUGAACAUGGAUGCAGACUUGUGGGGAGAAAGACAUAAAGAGUGGAUUUAAUAAAAGGAAGACUGGUAGAAAUGCUUUAUUGGAGCACUGGUUCUCAGCCAGGACAAUUCUGUCCCCCAGGGAACAUUUGGCGAUAACCGGAGACCUUGUGGAUUGUUACACCUGGGGAGUGCUAUUGGCAUCUAUCCAAUAGAUGGCCAGGGAUGCAUCUACAUCCCAGUGAUCUAUGCUGCACAGGACAGACCCACAACAAAGAAUAAUCCAGUCCCAAAUGUCAAGAAACCCCAUAGCAGAGAAAGCAUUGGGAAAGCAGAGAGGGAAAAGAAAGUCAAUGGGCAGACUGGGAGCACAUUGGUUCAAAAGAUGGAGGAGGAUGGGGUGCCUGGGUGGCUCAGAUGGUUGAGUGACCAUCUCUUGAUUUUUGGCUCAGGUCAAGGUGCUGGGGUCAUGGGAUCAAGCCCUGCAUCAGGCUCUCUCUCCCUCGGCCCCUCUCUCCUGCUCUCACUCUUAUGUGUGUGCAUUCCCUCUAAAAUAAUAAUUUAAAAAAAAAUGGAGGAGGAGAAUAUAGGUAUGUAUUUCAGUUUUUAAAUGCGUUGAACAUUUUUUAAUAAUGUCUUAGAAGAUGAUAGCAGUGGUUACCUCUGGAAUACAGGACAGAGGCUGUUAGAUGAAAAAGGAGAUGUUGUUUCAUGUACCACUGUAUACCGUUUAGGAUUUUUCCUUGUGUAUGUACAACAUCUUCAAUUAAAAUGCUAUAUUGAAAACUGGGAAAAACUUUUAAAAAUAGCAUUAUUAGUAGAAUUCGUAAGUUCAAAAGCACCCAGAAAACAAUUCAGUACUAUUGUGAUACUACCAAUCUUAAAUUAUGCAAUGAAAUUGUAUCUUUCUUUAAAGAUAGCAAAUAUGAUUUAGCAGUGGAACAAAAAAACAAAAACAAGAACAAAACAAAACCCCCUGCUCCACAUUCUCUUGCUUCUGGAAAGACGCAGUGACUUGAGUCCUUUGCUAAGACCUCUUGAAUCCACUCUUUCAUUUUCUAUUCCAUGGCAUCCACCUUUAUUUCAGACUCUCAUGACCACUGCCCCAGACUAUUUCAAUAGCCUCCUAAACGGUUUGCAAUCUCUCUUCCGUCUAAUCUGUUUUAUCUACCACUGCCAGGAUUAAUCACCUUAAAGCCUGCUCUCAGAUCAUCUCAGCUCCUGUUCGGAGCCUUCCUUGUUCAGUCUGCAGUGCACUGUCCGCUGCUUGGCAGGGCAUUCAGACCUCAGCUCCCUCCAACCUUAACUCUGAUGGAGUCCUUACAUACAGCUUUCGCCAGCCAAACUGACCGCUGGCUCUGCACCUCACAUCUCCCCAGGGCCCCAUCACUGUAAUGUCUCUCCCACCUGAAAUAGAUCUCGAACGGAUCUUCAGCUUUGAUAUCGCCAGCUUCAUCAAGCCACGUGAUUGCACCAACCAGAAGUAAUUGCUCCUUCAUAAAUUCUACAGUAUUCUGCACUUUUCCUUAUGCUGCAUAACAUACCCGAUCUCAGAUUAUCAUUACUUAUGCAUUGGAUAUCCUCUGCUAGAAUUUAAACCUCUCCAAAUUGAUCCUUAUGUGUGUUUAGGAAGCACGCAGUUCUGUGUUUCUGGCUAGUACUCACUGAAAGAAGAAAUGAAUAAGAUGAAAUGCUGUGUAUUUACUGUGCUUAUUUUUUUUUAAUCUCAAUUUGAUGUCCAUUGCUUUUGACGCUAAACUCCAUUAACAUAAAACACAGUAAAGACUCAUACAAUAAACAUGGAAUCUAGAGAGUGCUGAGAAUCAUUUUCUUCUCAGGCUCGAUUUAAAACGCUCAUCUAGUGGCAGUGAGGAUCCUGUUAUAGAGUAGGGCUAUUUUUGUAAUGGAAAUGAAUGACUGUCAGCAUUUGGAUUAAUAGAUAAUCCUCUUGGAAGGUGGAAGGGGAAGGAGAAAGAGAGUACUAAAUCCUUCAGCACAAAGUACGAGCUUUAAUAAAGGAGCCAAUAAAGUAAAGGAAUUAAGAAGACACAGCAAAAGCCACAUUCCGGUCAGACUCAAGUGCUGAGAUUUAUGCGGGACUGACUCUUACAUCCUGCCCUUGUUUGUUCUUCUUCUCCUUGCACCUGUAAGCCAGAGGGCUGCAACUGUCUUCCAGUGCCCUACCUCCACUCUGCCUCCUACUUUUUUGCCUGGACUGUUGUAACAGCUAGCGAACUUGAACUUCUGCCCGUAGCUGUUUGCUCAUCUGAUUCACGCUUUACAGCUCCUGCCGCAGAUUAUCUCCUAAAAUCAAAGCAGUAGUGCCCUGUUACUUCUGGAUGAAGCCCAGGCUCUCCAGACUCGUGGUUCAAGCUCUUAAAAUCAGGCGCAUCCCCUGCCAUGCCCCGCCUCCUCAUUGCCCAGGAUCCAAUUGGACUUCAAGUCUUUGCCGAGGCUUGUCUCAUUUGCGAUAUAAUCCUCUGCUAGGGAUGUCCUUGCCCCAUUCUCUGGCUCUUUUCUGCUUACCUUCAAGAACCAGCCCAAAUGGCACCGCCUCCAAGAAGCUUUCCCUGACGUCUCUGCCUUCCAAAUGGUUCACUUUCCCUCAUCUGGCCUGUCAUCGUGCAAUGUGCUAUCACAGGUUCUACCUUUUCCUUAGAUUGUCUGUUCACAUACCUGUCUCUGUCCUCGGAGCUCCUCAGAAGCAAGGACUGUGGCAUAGAUGACUUUCUGUCCUCAGAGCCCAGCAUGGUGUGGAGAGCAGGACAGAUGCUGGCUGGGUAGGAAGUGGUGAUGGGCCCGCCUCACUCCAGGUGUAGAGGCUUCUCACAAACGUCUGGCCCUCCUCACUCUCUGUGCUCCAGCCACACAGGCCUUCUUUUGGGUCCUUGAACACACCUGGCUCCUAUCUGCCUCUGCACUAGCUUUUCCCUCGGCCAAAAACUGCCUUCAGGUGUUCCCGUGGCAGGCUCCUUUGUAUACGUUAGGUCUCAGUCAAAUCCACCUUCUCAGAUGGCCUUUCCCAACACCUUGAGUCAAGUAGCUCCCCUUGCCUGCCCCCAUCACCAGCCAACACUUCACCUCAUCCUGUUUCUUAGGAACACUCACCACACCUGAAAUUGUGGCCAUUUAUUGAUUUGCUUUUUUAUUGUCAUUGUUAUUUCAUGUCUGCUUUCCUCCCAUUAGGAAGGAACUUUUUAGUUUACUAUAGUAUAUCCAGCGUAUCCACAAUGGCACAUGGGAGGUGCUUAGUACCUGAAUGAACGAACGAAUGGACAGAUGAAUGAAUAUUUGCUGGUCUAUAACAAAAUUUCUCCAGAAAAACAAACACUCUUCCUACCUUGGAGGAACUCAAAUUCUACGAACCUUUCUAAAGUUCAUAGGUGGGGCUGAAGCUAAAAAUAUUUUAGCGACUCAAGUACAGAGACGCUUUUGAUAUUCUCGGGUUCUGUUAUGGAACGCUCUUCAUUUUGUUAUUUUAAGCAUGUCCUUGGUGACGCAGAAAGCUAUUUAAAUUGGCUGUGUUUAGGAACAGUGCCACAAGGGAGCUAGUGGCAUCCACUCGCAUGAUGGCCAUCCUGCCAACAUUAUGUUAAUCACAGAUACUUAGAGCUUUGGUUUCCUGCACAAUAUCUCCUAUGAACAGAGUACUUGAUAAAUAUUUGCUCAGUGACUGAAUGAAUGCCUUAGUAUUUUGCCCUGCUUUCUGCAGAAGAGCUUGAAUUAUUGCCCAGCUUUUCUCUGGUAAACCUAGGGCUUGCUGGCCCCUUUCCCAUCUUCUCCUUUGUGAAAAGCCCGGCUCCAUGCUGCCCAGAGGAAAGCAGGACUAGUUAUUUGGCAGCAAUGUCUGCUGCGGCCAGAAGGGGAGGACUGCUUGGGGCCAGCAUGCGCAAUGUUUUUUUGCGUGUAGCUUUGUUUGCCUUUGAUUUAUUUAUUUUCCUUUUCUGGAGAACAGUGGACUUUUCUCUAGUCAGUAAGACGGGCUCAUCAGUGUAAAUUUCCUUAAUCCCCCUCACAUUUUGAUUCACCAAAUAUCCGAGUGCCUACUUGGUGCCUGGCAGUGUGCAAAGCAUGGCAAGUAGGAGAUAAAUUGGACAGCGAGGUCUAGGCCCUGAAGGAAUAGGUGUAUGGCGUAUGGCCUAGCGAGAAAGACGGCCUUGAUUGACGCCUAAUUACACGAGGAUGAGCAAUAUUGGAGGCAAGCAUAAGAAGCCAUGAACUUGCCUAGUAGGUGCCUGCAUGACCAGACUGGGUGGUGGCAAGUCCCAUUCUUGUUGAAACCACUUUCGGCUUAUAUUUUAAGGUGACUGCUUGCAGUGUGUCCCGAGAGAAGAAAGUUUCAUUUUAUUUUUUCCCCCCGCUAUUUGUGCUGUGAUUUAUCUGUUACUUUUUCUCCCACUGGUAUAUCUCAUGGGGCAGUGUGUUUCUGAAAGUUAAGUGUCCUGAGGUCUCACGUACAUCUGCAGACAUUUGCUGUCCGUUGGAGUUGGAACAUUGGAUUCAAUCUUUAUUUUGCUGUCUUUGAAAUAUAUAUGAGGCCAGCGGCCUGUUGGAUCCCAUUCCCUUAGCUCCUUCUCCACGACUGGAUUUUUAAGUUUUUAGUCUGCGUGUGGUCCUUGCAUUCUCUCCCUGUCUAGUGCUGUUGUCCAUCAAUUUUCCUAGAGCAUCCACUUUGGAUGAAUGUCAUAUGUUUUAUCUAUUACAAGAAUAAACUUUAUAGCCAUGCUUGUGAACAGAAUUGUGGCCAUGACGGCCAUAGAGUGACGUAUCCAAAGUCUUAUUAUGGUAGGAAAUAGCUAGUCCCUUUCAUUCAACGAUUACUAAAUUCCUGUUCGUGCUAGGUUAAGUACUAGAAACUCACACAUUACCAGGAAACUCUCUUUUCUUAACGUUAGUUCAGUCACCAGGCCCACGAAACGUCAGAAGCCAGGGACAUCAAGAGCAAUGACACAAUCCUUGCCUUAAGGGAUUUGACAGUUCAGGAAGAGAGAAAUAUUGCAAAUAUAAAGGCUUCAGUAGAAUAAGACGCUGGGUUCAGUGGGAAAGAGUGGUUAGUUCUACCGUAGUGAUGAAUAGCAGUCAGAGGAGAGCAGAAAAGCCCAACAGGGCUCAAAGCUGAGCUUUAGAAGUAGAUUAGGUAUCUGACUAUACAGGGGUAAGGGAGUUUCUGGGGAAACAAAGACACAGAAGGGAUCAAGUAUGGUAUGUUUAGAUUAUCGCUAUGCAAAUAAUCUGGAGCACAGAGCAUGGCGAGAAGCAUGCUAAAUGAACGGCACAAAGGCAAUCUCCUGGAGACCCCCAUAUUGCACCCCGAGGUUCGUGGGUACACAAUAUGCCAAAGGCAAGGCGGGAGGCAGAGCCAGCAGGAGUGGGGAGAAAGGGUUUUCAGUCGGGUAGUAGUGGCAUAAACUGGUUUCUAUUUGAUAAGAUCAUCCUGGAGGAAGCCCUAAUGUGAAAUGGGGUCAGUUAGGGCAGUUCUCAACCACUGUGUCAUUACACACUAGGACAUCCCUUGAAACCUCAUUUGAAAAAAGUAUUUGCAUAUGUUGCUGGGUUUAAUGUUCUGAUUAAAAAAACAAACAAGCAAAAAAACGUUUACCUCUAUGUUAACAGGUGAGUUUGGCCUAUGAUUUUCUUUCCUUAGCCUGCCCUGGGUCAAUUUUUAUCUCAAGGUAAAACUAUCCAUAGAUGACUUAGAUUGCUUUUAUUCUCUUUCUAGAGUUUCAAAUGGUUUUAUAAGAGAGAAGCCUAUCUGUUCUUUGGAGGAUUGGUUAAAUCACUUAGAAAACCAUCCAGGCUUGGAGUCUAAUUUUGAGGAGGGAGAAAUUUUUGUCUACUUAUUCAACUAUUUUAAUGGUUACUGGAUUAUUCAGAUAUUCUAUUUUUUUCUUUGUUCAGUUUUAUAAUUUAUAUAUUCCUAUAAAAUUGUCCAGUUGCUGACAAGUCUCUUUAUUUUCAAAACUAUCUGCAUAUAGAAGCACAAGAGUCUUUUAGGGGAGAUAGAAAUAUUCUGUAUCUUAUUUGUGGAGAGAGGUUCAAAGAUAUAUCAAAACUUACCAAAUGUGGUGUUGUUUUGUAAAAUAUAUUUUUGUUUUCCUGUAUUGUAAUUAUUGUGUUGUUAAUAUAUAUAGUUCAUGGUAAAUAAAUUACACCUCAUAAAGUUGAUUCACAUUUAUCUGCAGAAAAUUGUACCAAGUAUUUUUUGUGAUUUUUAAAAAUUCUCUUCUCUGUCUUAGGACAUGUUCUUUUUUGCCUUAAUAUUGUUCAUUGGGGGUAAUUUCUCUUCUUUGUGAGUCUUGUUAAAGGUUUGUCCACUUCAUUAUCUUUUAGGUAACUCACUCUGUAGGAAGAACCCUCAGCAUCCUUGCCUUCUUGAUCUUUCUGCCAUGGUGCCUUGUAGUAUCCCUCCUCUCCAUCUCCCUACCAUUCUGUGUGGGUAAAGGAGGGCAUAUAAGAGGUUAGGUGACUGGAGGAGAAGACCCUUGUGGCAGAAACCAGAGUUAAAGGGAUGAAAUUCCUUCUUUCAAGGUGUCUAGUGCAGUCAACAGAUCAGACUCAAGAGCUAGGAGGCAGUUUCCUCUGUGCAAAUUGAUGCGGCUACCGUGUCAUUUGGUGUCUUUGAAAAUGCCCCUCCGAAUAUUUAAAGAGGGCUUAGCUGGCAGUGUGAACACCCAUUACCCUUUAGGAACUACGUUGUCUCACUUUUACAUCCAGGGCCAUCAUACCGCCUCUUGAUGCAUGACCCUACCUUAACUGGCAAACUGAAGAAAAUGGGCAGCAGAAUCUGAAAAUAAUAUAGCAUCAGUUAACUAGUAAAUAGUUAAUAUGUUUUACUCUCUUGGAAUUCAUGUAUUUGUUUUGUCAGCUAAAUAUAUCUGACUAGUUGCUUAAUGCAGUUUGUAUUGUUCUUUCUAUUUGUUGUGGAAAAAAAAUGAGUCUUCUGGAUUUGAGGGAGCUAAUUAUACUUAAUUGUUUAAUGUAAAAGUCUAUUGCUUUUUAUUUUUCUUCUAGUUAUCAAGUGCAUUCUAGGAGAAAAUAUCAUAAUAUGUGAGACUAUUUCAUAAUGCAGUGUUUAUAUCUUAAUACUAAAUAUGAGCUGAGGAAGUAAUAUCCCUAUUAAAAAUAUAUUCAGAGUUGGCACUCAGUUGUCUUGGGGCUGAUUCAAAAUAAGCAGGUGCUGUGUGAAAGAUGUACCAAAAAUAUUGUUGAACAUUAUUCCCUAUCAGUGUAAGAUAAUUAUGGGUUUUUGAAAACUAGAAAGGAAAAUGUCUGUUGUAGGUAGGACUUGGUCACUUACAAAGUCUUACUAAACAGCCUAAUGGGAAAUCCACUGUGCUUUUACUGCAUCAGCAACAAGGUUAUCUUAAAUUUGAAUUAGACCUCCCAGAAUGGAAAAAGGGGGUGAGGGGGGGUGGCAGAAACUUGAGUAAUCUUUUAUCUUGCUUCCUGAUGCUACUUUUCUUUUUACGUAUUUGAGCUAUCUUUCGUUCAUUUUGUCUUAACUUUGGGGACAAAAGUUGGAAACCCAAGUCUGAAAGCUGGGACUGCCAUAACAAAGUCCCACAGACUGCGUGGGUUCAAACAGACCUUUGUGUUCUCACAGUUCUGGAGGCUGGACAUCUGAGAUCAAGAUGUCUUCAGGGUUGGUUUCUUCUCAGGCCUCUCUCCUUGGCUUAUAGGUGGCUGUCUUCUCAUAUUGUAUUAAUGUUCUCCAGAUAAAUAGGACCAACAGGAUGUGUGUGUGUGUGUGUGUGUGUGUGUGUGUGUGUGUGUGUGUGUUUGGAGAGAGAGAACUAUCUGUAUCUAUACAGAGAAAGAGACAGAAACUGAGAGAUUUACUAAGGAAUUGGCUGUAUACUUGUGGUGACUUUGGAAAUUUAAAAUCUUCAGGGUGGACUGGCAGGCUAGAGAUUCAGCGAAAAGUCCCAAGACUUCAUCUUUGUUCUUCUAAAGCCUUCAGCUGAUUGGAAGAGGCCACCCACAUCACAAGGACAACCUGCUUUACUCAAAGUCCACCAAUUCAAAUGUUAAUCUCAUCCACAAAAAACAAAACAAAACAAAACCCCACA